rnacentral:rRNA from 1 species
UACGUAGGGGGCUAGCGUUGUCCGGAAUCAUUGGGCGUAAAGCGCGUGUAGGCGGUCCGGUAAGUCCGCUGUGAAAGUCGGGGGCUCAACCCUCGAAUGCCGGUGGAUACUGUCGGGCUAGAGUGCGGAAGAGGCGAGUGGAAUUCCUGGUGUAGCGGUGAAAUGCGCAGAUAUCAGGAGGAACACCAAUAGCGAAGGCAGCUCGCUGGGACGUUACUGACACUGAGGCGCGAAAGCGUGGGGAGCGAACAGG